AGCGAACGCUGGCGGCAGGCCUAACACAUGCAAGUCGAACGAACCCUCCGGGGUUAGUGGCGGACGGGUGAGUAACACGUGGGAACGUGCCUUUAGGUUCGGAAUAACUCAGGGAAACUUGUGCUAAUAACGAAUGUGCCCUUCGGGGGACAGAUUUAUCGCCUUUAGAGCGGCCCGCGUCUGAUUAGCUAGUUGGUGAGGUAAUGGCUCACCAAGGCUACGAUCAGUAGCUGGUCUGAGAGGAUGACCAGCCACAUUGGGACUGAGACACGGCCCAAACUCCUACGGGAGGCAGCAGUGGGGAAUCUUUCGCAAUGGGCGAAAGCCUGACGCAGCCAUGCCGCGUGGAUGAUGAAGGUCUUAGGAUUGUAAAAUCCUUUCACCGGUGAAGAUAAUGACUGUAGCCGGAGAAGAAGCCCCGGCUAACUUCGUGCCAGCAGCCGCGGUAAAAC
rnacentral:rRNA from 1 species